UAUGUAGGGUGCGAGCGUUAAUCGGAAUUACUGGGCGUAAAGCGUGCGCAGGCGGUUCGUUGUGUCGGUGGUGAAAGCCCCGGGCUCAACCUGGGAAUGGCCAUGGAAACUGGCGAACUGGAGUGCGGCAGAGGGGGGUGGAAUUCCGCGUGUAGCAGUGAAAUGCGUAGAGAUGCGGAGGAACACCGAUGGCGAAGGCAGCCCCCUGGGCUAGCACUGACGCUCAGGCACGAAAGCGUGGGGAGCAAACAGG
rnacentral:rRNA from 1 species